rnacentral:rRNA from 1 species
AUUGAACGCUGGCGGAAUGCUUUACACAUGCAAGUCGAACGGCAGCACGGGUGCUUGCACCUGGUGGCGAGUGGCGAACGGGUGAGUAACAUAUCGGAACGUACCCAGUAAUGGGGGAUAACUAACCGAAAGGUUAGCUAAUACCGCAUACGCCCUGAGGGGGAAAGCGGGGGAUCGAAAGACCUCGCGUUAUUGGAGCGGCCGAUAUCUGAUUAGCUAGUUGGUGAGGUAAAGGCUCACCAAGGCGACGAUCAGUAGCAGGUCUGAGAGGAUGAUCGGCAACACUGGAACUGGGACACGGUCCAGACUCCUACGGGAGGCAGCAGUGGGGAAUUUUGGACAAUGGGGGAAACCCUGAUCCAGCCAUUCCGCGUGAGUGAAGAAGGCCUUCGGGUUGUAGAGCUCUUUCGGCAGGGAAGAAACGGUUCUGGAUAAUACCCGGAGCUAAUGACGGUACCUGAAGAAGAAGCACCGGCUAACUACGUGCCAGCAGCCGCAGUAA